GGUCGUUCUCAGCUUAAUAAAGAAUAUUCCGAUAAUUUUACCUUAAUUUUUUUUUAGCCUCGCUCUGCUCAGCAAAAUUUAAGUUUGCGCCCCUCCUAACCUUAAAUCCUGGAUCUGCCCCUCAUAUGGUUUAGGGGUGGGGAGAUCAACCGUUUCCAAGUUAUCAAACAGGAGGGGGUAGAGUGGCCCAAAGAAUGUCACCUAUAUAUCAUAUGAUUUACUUACAAUAAGGUAUAUAUAAUAUAGUUGCAUUAUUUGUGAAAAUAAAGAAAGAAACUUUCAGCUACUUUAAUUGACCCUUCAAAAUUGAGAAAAACAAAUAACCCUUCGAAAUUGCAGUAGUAUGUUUACACUUU
rnacentral:lncRNA from 1 species